CCCAUUUUUAUAGGCGGCUCAGCACGCGGGCCCGCUCACCUCACGCUUCGUCUCUCUGUCCUGAUUGGCUCCUGGCUUCCGGCUCCAGCCCAGGGAGGUGGGGGGGAAGACUUGCGAGCGCGCGCGCGUGCCUUUUCCCAAGCGGCCAGAGCGCCUGUGCACGAGGGGCGGGGACGGGGGGCGCCGAUUGGCCGGUUCCCCGGUCGUCGUGGUAACCGAGCGGGCGCGCGCGCGCAGGGCGCGGGGUGGGAUCGGAGUACCGUUGGUCAUGACAUCGGUGGCGGCGCGGCCGCCCGGCCCGGCCCGUUUGGUCCCCGCUUCCUCUUCCCGCCGAGCUCAGUCCCGCGCCCGCGCCCCUCUGUGCCUGCCGCUGAGGGCUCGGUGUCCACCUCCCCGCUCUCUCCCGGCCCCCGGCGGCCGCCGCUGAAACAUGAGGAUAAUUGAACGGGGAAAGGUUCGGGCCGCAGCGGGGGCUCGACCGGGGUGGGGAGGCUGAGCCGGAGGUGAGCGGUGAGGACAGAGGGAGGGAGCCGGCCGGGGCAGGGCGCGAGUCACCCCGCGGUGGGCUGCGCGGUGGAGCUGCCUGCCUUCGGGUAUACGGUGUUUAACUGAGGCGGUGCUGCCUCAGGGCUGGCCGUGCCAAGACUUCCUAACGCGCCGGUGUCAUUCACUCCCGUGACUUGGCUAUGAAAACAUGCGGGAAAUCUUUGUGCUGUACAAAGUGUAUUGCAGCAAUCAACAAUAUAUUUAAACUCUGCUUCUUACGGAAAGUUACUCAGUUACUUAGUUAUCAUGUGCGAGGGCUGAUUCAUGCCUAUGUGGUAAACUGGUCUCUCUUGGCUCAGGAGAAACUCAAACAGAAAGGUAAGCUACGAGAAGAAAAAUAUUUUCCACAUGCAGUGCUUCAAAGUUGAGUUUCUUUGUUAGUUUUGGCGGUGGAAAGAUGUUCUCCCGUUACGGGAAAUGUCAGCACCUGCGCCCUAGUCCUUUGCAGUGAGUGAAGAGUGUCGGAGCAGUGAUGUCGCAGCCAGCUGGAAAGAGCCGCAGCUUUCAUGGCCCUCCUGCUGCCGGGGAGGGAAGAAUAACACAAUUACUCGUGAUGACUAGAAAAUGGUCACCAAGCAAUUAAUCCAGUUAGAAACCCCUAAAACCAGAACGAAACCCACUGCCUCUUUAACCGGAGCACAUUGUACUGCAUUACAGAUUUCACCAGAUGUUGUUUUGCAAGGGUCUUUGAAACCAGCAUUUCUGCCAAGCAAGGAGCUAGCAGACAAGAAAUCUUUUCCUUGGGGAAUGGAUGAAAAGGCCUACUUAAACCAGAGAGGUUUCCUUCUUUCACUUGUGCCUGCCAAGGCUGUGACUGCCAAGGCUAUUGCUAAAAAGGUUUUAAUUCAAGGAUAACUUGCUUAGCACACUGACAGGCAGAGUGCACAGGAUCUUGAUAAGAUGCUCCCCAUACAGAUGUUUUGAAGCGUGCAGCUAUCCUCUUGUCUUGUGACUUACCAUUUCCCUCCUGGAGGUCUGCUGUCGAGGACCUGACAGACAAACACACAAUCACAUAGAAUGCCAACAGGAGAACAGAGCUGGGCCAUCUUUUCCCUGUCAUUACACUGUUUGGCUCAGGACUUUGUGUAUUCAUCCUUAGAGGACACCAAUGUUCCUGUACCUGCCUGGCAGUUGGUAUUCCCUGGCACAGCCCCAGUGGUCCUGUUAUCACAAGGAGGUGGGAGGCGGAAGCUCAGCAGUGAUGGCCCCAGUCUGGGUCAAGUCAUUCUGGCACUUGUGCAUGACCAGUCUGUCAGUGCAGCCCAAGGGACACUGCCAAUGCUGCCUCUUACUGCCCUUCAAAAUCCUUUCUUGUGGCUACAUGGCUAACUGCCAGAGAAAGAUGCCACUCAGUUAAAGUUCAAACCAAGUUUGUAGCCAAAAAAGCAACUCCUGCUCCCUUCCAGCCCUGAAUUAGAAUGACUUCAAAACAAAUAGAGUGACCUCAAAAAACAAAAAUAGAAGUGCUAUUCAAUCACCACCUGCCUUCCUAGAAAAUCCUAUUUCCAUCAUUUGCACCUACUGGCAACCUCUACAGGGUCUCCCUAUCAAUUUCCUAAGGCUACACAGCCCAGCAAGCUAGCCCAGAAUGGAUGACUUGCUGUCUGCAAUGUUUUGUCCUCCAUACUGAGGUCUACAGGGGUCUGUGCCACUUUCUUUUCCCUAUUCAAAAAACAUCCAUCUUUGUGUAAACUUGGUAGAGUCACAACCUUAACAGGACUUUCUUGUUCUUAAUAGAUUGUUCAUUAUGGUCUUCCUGUGCUCAACAUCCUCCUAUCCCAGUGUAGAACAACUCAGGUCCCAGGAUCUCCUCCAAGAUUUUAUUGGAGGAGCCCAGGUUCUUGUGUACAGUCAACAGCACCAAGGGCAAGGUUCACUUAUCCCUGAAAAUCCUUCAAAGAAGUGCAAAUUUAUUUCCUUUGACUAUUAAAGGAACCCAGACCAGGCAGCUUGGGUGUACACAUCUACUUUGCAGAUGUCUAGAAUGAAGAUGAACACCAUCCAAAGUGACUCAGCAUACUGUCUGAACAGGAUUUACCUCCUGAUUAUUUUCCCCACAGUUCACACAAACGAAAGGAAAGCUAAGCCAUGCACCAUCAGCAUGCCAGGAGCAUGCUCGUUUUUCCAGUAGGAGGGCCAGACUUCCUUUUGCUUUGUAACCUUCGUAGCAGGGUCUCUUCCUUUGAAAGCACGCCACAAAGAAAAAAGAUUAGAACCACCUAAGUUCAGUAUACUGCUCAACACGUUGGUUGAGAGAGUCUCUGUUAUUUCAUUAAAGAUCAUCUGCACUCCAGAAAGAUGCAAAGUGCCCUCACACGAAUCAGUCCAUGCAUUUUCCCAGUUCUGGCCCUUACGGGACACACAUCCUUUCUCUUCCUUGAUUUCAAACUCGGCAACUUGUUUGUGACAGGGUCCCCUUGAAAAAACAGAAGACUAUCAUGCACACACAGAGGAAGAAGAGGUGGCCACUGCUAGAGGCAGAUACAGGCAGCUAUAAAAACAACCCUGUCAAAAGCACGACAGAAGACAAGGGAGGUGUUGCUGAUUUACACUGAGAGGGUGGGAGCACGUCAGGGGGCUGGGAAGAGGGCAGGAGGCCUGUUCUUAGACAGUGGCCAGGAUUAGGUAGACCAGGUUGUUUGGGGUGGGAUGAAGGUCUCUGUGUCCCCUUGUCUCCUCAGAAGAGAUGUAGAGAAGUAUCAGAGCAUCGGCACAGAGAUUCAGCACAUGUGCUGCAAAGGCAGGACGGAUGAUAUUUUCUGGUUUAGCCUAGCUGUUGCUUUUGGCUGAUAACCAGUAAAAAUAAAGCUUUACUGGUUUUAUUACCACAUCUGAGAGAUCAGUGUGAAGUACAACCCUGCCACCAGGCAGAGAGCGACACAGUGGAGAAUCUAAUAGCUCCCUCCUAUCCUUUUCUUUCAGACUGUGCUAAAAUGGUAACACUUGCCUUACCUGCAAACUAACAAUAGCUGUACAGCAGCAUAGGAAAGGUAAACAAGCCCUAAGUAGAGGGGAUGUAGCCAUUACCCCUAGGCACUGACUAAAGUUAGAGACCACAUACUCUUCUAGGGAAAAAAACUGCAAAAGGAACCGAUUUUGAAGUGUUUCUGACCUAAAACUACAGUCCUGUGGUCCACCAUGCUCCACCUACAAAUAUCUCCCCCAGAUUCUGAUCACAGGCUAGCAAAAUGACAGAUUUGGAGUUUUUGCCUUUAAAUCAGAAUGCAGCCCCCAUCAAUAGCAGAUAAUGCUCUAACAGUGGAUUUCAUCUAUGUGACAACAAAAAUAAGAAAGAAAACCCUGACAUCAAGCCAGUUAUCAAUAGACAGGUGAACUAACGUGCCCCCAGGAACUAUACUGCUAUAGAAGGGUUUGUUGCAUAUGGCAGAGAAGGGAGGAGGCAAACUGGAAAAUUUCUGCUCUUUUUUCUGUGUUCGCAGUCAGGCAGUUUGCAGAUGAUUGGUAAAUUCUCUUAAAGCGCUUUUAAGGAAAGGCAGAAACAUAGUUUGGAGCAUGUAGUUUCCUUGCUAGAGCUGCAUUAAUUCUGAAUAGCUCUGCUGCACUGCAUCAUGCUAAGCAGAAUGGGAUCCCUCUGCUACUAGAAAGCUUUUGUCUACUUGUUACUGAAAUCCCAAAUGAUAUAUUUUGCAUGGAGUGCACAGUACUUGUAUGAUUCUUUUCCUAUGCUACAUCAAUUUAAUUAAAAUACUACAGUCUCCUGGG